CAGGACGAACGCUGGCGGCGUGCCUAACACAUGCAAGUCGAGCGAUGAAGUUCCUUCGGGAACGGAUUAGCGGCGGACGGGUGAGUAACACGUGGGUAACCUGCCUCAAAGAGGGGGAUAGCCUCCCGAAAGGGAGAUUAAUACCGCAUAACAUUAUUUUCUCGCAUGAGAAGAUAAUCAAAGGAGCAAUCCGCUUUGAGAUGGACCCGCGGCGCAUUAGCUAGUUGGUGAGGUAACGGCUCACCAAGGCGACGAUGCGUAGCCGACCUGAGAGGGUGAUCGGCCACAUUGGAACUGAGACACGGUCCAGACUCCUACGGGAGGCAGCAGUGGGGAAUAUUGCGCAAUGGGGGAAACCCUGACGCCAGCAACGCCGCGUGAGUGAUGAAGGUCUUCGGAUUGUAAAGCUCUGUCUUUGGGGACGAUAAUGACGGUACCCAAGGAGGAAGCCACGGCUAACUACGUGCCAGCCGCCGC
rnacentral:rRNA from 1 species